rnacentral:lncRNA from 1 species
GAGGUGAACGAGGAGCUUUUGUUGGCGCUGAGGCGCCGGCACCGCUGCCCGGAGCUGUGGGUGCCCCAGCCCUGGAGGUGCCGAAGGGCAGUAGGGGGGCCGUGGCAGCCCGGGCCGGGUCGUGCCGUGGGCAGAGGGGCAGCUCUCGGCGCAGCUCCCCGGGGCCGCCUUCCGCCCCCCGCGCCGAGGGGGAACCUUUCUGCGCCCCGCGGAACCUUUGCGGCGGAGGCGCCUGUUGCUGCCCGGGGGAGCGCGCGGCCGGACGCUGUGCGAUGCGGCUCCCGAGCGGCGGCUGAGCGCCGAGGCCGGCACGGAGGCAGGCGGGCGGGCGGCUGCCAGCUCCAGGGCCCCGCCGCGGCCCGCGGCCCCCCCCGGCCCGCCCCCCCCGCCGAGGUGAGAGCCGUCGCCGCGCUGGGAGCGGGCCGGAAGGCCGCGGGGUGGGGGGGGUGUGUGUGUGCUGGGGGUGGGGGGGGUCGGACCGGCGGAGAGCCGCCCGCCCCGCCCCGCCCCGGGGGCGGCGGGGAGCGGGGCCGAGGCCGCAGCUCCCACCCGCGGCCGGGUUGGCGCGGCUCUCCCCCGGCAGCAUCCCCCGGGGCGCGGCGCCGGUCGGGGCCUAAGAGGGGGUGGGGCCUCGGGGAGCCCCCGGGAGGCCGCGGCCGCCCCCCGUGCUGCGAGCGGGGCUGCGCGCUGUCCGAGGAGCGGUGCCCGCGGGGCCGUACCCGGGGCGCGGCCGUAACGGUGCUGCUGCGGUGCGCGCUGGGGAGCUCCGGAGGGGAGGGCCCGGCUCGUUCUGGGCCGGCUCCCUCGCUUCCUCCAUUGAACCGCCUCGGGAUCGCUCCUCCUGCUUGUGGUCUGAGUGCUCCCGGCCGUGGCACCGGGCACGUUCUCCCCCCGUGUCUGCUCCUCCAUCCGUCUGUACGAAACGAGGGCUUCCGAAGUUCUCGGCCGGGUUUGUCUGUGUGCAACUGUGGAAUCUUUGUCGCUGAGAAAGUCUUUAGAAGACGGGAGCUCUUUUUAUGCCGACGAGACGUUAGCGAGCACCUCUGCUCGUCUUUGUAAUCUGGGCUUAUUGUAACGCCGGGUAUUCUUCGCACUUAGCCAAGUGCUGUGCCCGGCGAACACGCGCUCAGCCCGUGGGCUCUGAGCCGACGGUUCCGUCCCUCCUCAGCUCCAGGAAUGGGCCGUAGAGCCCUCUGUCUGCUUCGAUGCAAAAUCACUUAGUUCUGAAUAAACAGCCUUUGUUUUGGUAGUGCUGCUCUAGGGGCAGGAGCGUCCAGCAGAGGGAUGAAAACAAAACAGCCCACUCUGCCCGUGCCGGGCUUCUGAGCGAGCUUCGAUGCAGCCUCGGUUUGUUGAGUGAGGCUGCUUUCUUCCCUAUAUAUGUACACCUAUGAAGGCAUAUAUCUUAAGUGCACGCAGUGAUCAGUGCAGCCUUUUGUCCUGUGGUCCUCCCAGCAUCAGCACAAGGGGCUCAUUUGUUAAUGGUGGGUGCUGAAUGUGAGAUUCUCGAGGAAAACAUGGUUGCCGUUUUAAGGAAGAGCUGACGUGGAUGUAGUGUGCUAUCUUUUCUGUCUCUGACCGAAUACCACCUUUUCCCUCAGUAUGUUUGGCCCCCACGCUCUCCUUGUUCUGCACCUCAGUUAUCGGUAACUUCUGCAUCCCACUUAUCUGUCCAAAUUCCAGUUUUGGUACUGGGGAGCAGUGCAGCUCCUGAGCUGGAACACGGUGUGCUCUGAGGAGAACCGAACCACGUGCUUUCUGCCUGGGUCGAGAUCUGAAAGGUUGUAAUCUGGUCAAAAAACUGUAGUAGGCUGUGAUAGCGCUCUCUGGUAUCCAAGUUGGUGUCACGGUGUUAAUCCAGGCCAGGAGGGACCUCAGGUGUGCACAGCCCAGCCUGCCGCUCCACACACAGUAGCACUGCGUUCAGUUUUCUUCCUUCCCUUGGAGCUGAAACCCCCCAAAGACAAAGAUUCGGCUCUGUGCCCCUGCCCCAGGCUGCGGGCACCUGGCGGGGCUCAGCCUUUCCUUGAGGUCGGAUCACAACCUCUGCUGCUGCAGUUGGACCGCUGCUUUGUGUCCUCCUCCUGCGUGCAGCCCCAGCGCUCACACCUCCCCUCCCAUAGCGGUGCCUCUGACCUGAGUGCUUGGGGAGCCCCCACUGAACUCUCUCUGUCUUUGCUGUUCUGGGGCGUCAAAGCUGCUUCGUGGUGUUCCCGAUGGAGGUGAAAGGAAGGGUUGACUCCUCACCAUAGGGCCGUGCUCCUGCCGAUGGAGCCCAGCGUGCUGUUAACCCGCAUCACUGCCAGGGCGCACUGCUGACUCACGUUCAGCGUGCUGCCCACCGUUCAUGCUGCUUUGUUUGUGUGCACGUAUGCGUGCAUAUGGAGGCACAUUGUAUGCACGUGCACAUGGCCGUGCAGCUCCAAAGAGAGCCUCAGUCAUGCAUGCACUUGUGCAGAUGCACAUGCGUGCAUCAGACAGCAUGUUUUGCACCUCUUAACAGCAGCUUGACUGUCCUUCCCCCUGGAUUCCAGGUGGUGGUGGUGUGCGGGGGCGCAGCAGCCGGUCAUCCCUGGCUGUGCCUCCAGGACAGCCUGUGCUUUGGCUUUCUCAAAAUGGCAUUGUUUCAAAUGCUUCUGUGCGAUGUGAUCGGGUCACUGGGACAGGAGGAGGGAGUGGCUGUAUGAGUACCGAGCAGCAUCUCGUUCGACCAAGUGUGAAGCUGGAAUGGAAGCAUGUUGUGAUAGAGGUGUUUUCAAGUAAUGUUGUCCACAGGUAGGAAUUAAAUGGAAUGUAUUGCAGCGAGUAGCAGUGCUUCAAACGUCGUGCCUUUAAAGCAAGUGGCUCGUGCCUCCUUGUUCUGAGUAGUUAGUGCUGAUCGAUACUUCAGCUGCAGUAACCAGCUAAUGCUGGCGGCAUGCACAUGACAGUAGGGUCAGCACAUCUGAAGUUGAAACAAGUUCUGGAAAACCAGGCCAUUCUAUGAUUGUAGGAUAUGCCCUUUCCCUCCUGAGGAGGGGUAUUGCUGCAGCCCAACAGAUAGGGCUUUGUGUGCAAUCAGCACCCACACUGAGUAGGUGUGGUAGACAGUAUGAAUGGAGGGUUGUAGAGAGAUUUCUGUUAGGUCUGGC